UAAGGACUCCUCAUUUCCCCUCGCCGCCUUGUCUCCUCCUUUACCUCGCCAUCUCUUAUUCACUUGAGAUCUUCUGUCUCCUUGGACUAAUCCAUGUCUCCGCCUUCCUCCAUUGUGGGUUAUCAAUAUUAUGGUGAUGUUGGUUAUGGAUUCUAGUAUGUCAGCUAACAAGAGUUCUAUAAUUCAGGCUCGAUGUUCCUUGUUGGAUCUUGUCUUCUGAGAGAUGUUGCGUGCGGCUUUUGGAAAUUUAAAAUCCGAUAUCCUCCAUAAAUUCUCCGAUCCAAGUGGCAGAUAAGUUUUCAUAUUUAUACCUUUUCUUGCUGAGGGAGGGAGCGACAGUACGAUAAACUACCAAAGAAACAAGGGUAAACCAAUCAAAUCAUGACGUUAUAGGUUUGCUUGCACGGAUAUGACUUUCCUCAGUUAGUUUGAGCGAAUUUGUUUUUUUACUCUUCCUUCCCCGCUUAAUAGCCACAUUUUUAAAAAAAGCAAAUGAUAGGAAUUUUUUUUAAUUUUAUAAGGCAAAUUUCGUGUUUUAUUCAAAAUCCAAAACAAAAUUACCCAUCCUGACACUUCUGCGGGCAUGACCCAACCUACACUUAGCCCAACAUUUAAAAAGAAAACAACUGAUAAGGACAACAAAUAAAAUAUGAUAGAUCCACUCAGUACGCCUAUAAAUUCUCCAUCCAAAUGGCAUAUAUAAAUUUUCAAAUCUAUACCUUCUCCUGUUGGAGGGGCGACGAUACGAUAAACUCCCAAAGAAACUAGGGUAAAUCAAUGAGAUCAUGACAUUGUAGGUGCUUGCAAUGGGACGGAUGCAACUUUCCUCAGUUUGUUUGAGUGGCGUACGUCCCCCUCCCCCCCCCCAUAUCUUUAGUCUUUAGGGUCAUUUUAGUUUCUUAUAAGUAUGAUUCCCCACAACAAACGUGUUGCAGAUUCGGGCUCCAAUUCAUAAUCAAAAUGAAUGAUGGAUUGGUUGUUUGUGUGCUAGAAAGUCAUGACUGUUCAAAAUGAUGGAUUUGGAAUCAAUUUAUUGGUUUUUGAAACCACUUACGUGGGAUACGUGAGCUUUAUGGUAAAACGGCAGAGAAAAGAGACAUGGAAAACUUUAACCAACAUUCUCAUGGGAAAGCAAGGUUAAAGUUCAAGAUGAAACUAUGAAAUAGAGCUAGAUAUUGGCAAGAAUCCUAGAAGCCUAUCCUGUCUCGAUUAGCGAACAUCACAUGAUCAUCAACCCAUGACAGCACAGUUAUACACAAAGCAUCCAGAUCGCUUUCAUCAAAUCAAGUUCCACUGAGGUCCUUCAAUUGGAACCGAUAAACUCACUUUGAAAUGCCCUACACCCAUGGCUCUAGGCUCUCACAUUACAAUUAGCCUAUCACCACAAGCUCAAAAAGCCAAAUCUCAACCAUUCAUUGAAGCUGCUCUUUCAGGUAAUCUUCUUAUGGUGACCCGUGCUUUAAUUUGCUUGUCAUACUUCCUCACCUCUAUGUUAGCAUAAUCAGCAGAAUACAAAUCAUUAUUUACAACUGCCACCAAUGGAGGUGCUUCGAAUGUAGCAGGCAUAUCACCCCUAGCUGUAGCUCAAACACGAGACAUGCUUGAAAAUUUAGUCCAUUUUCCUGUUUCAAAUAAUAUUAGUCUCCAUAAUGUGUCAAUAGCACCUUUGACAACUCUGUUUUUCCAAUGCCUGCAAUUACAUAAAAAUUUCUAUCCACAAAUACCACAAAACACAUUUUACGCUGCUUGGUGAAGUGUUCGAGGCUUCGAACUCUAAAUUGUGAACUUCUGCUGAGCUAAGUAUUUUGACCCCAUGAGUCGCAACCGCCAGCUAGAAUGGAAAUCUCCCCAAAACUGGCAGAGCCAAACAAACGUCUUGGUGCAUUCUAGAUGACCAAGUGUUUUUCGUAUACUGUAAAGAUAAAUGACAUGUAUAAAAUCACCUUUCCAUACACAAUCAGCUCUAUCCUAACUGCCAAAGAGCUGCUUGUGUUUGGAAAGGAGAUCUUAUUUAUGUCAUGUAUCGUUACAGUAUACUGACAAACACUUGGUUAUUUGGAAUACAAAUGAAUGCACCAAGGUGCUUGUUUGGCUCUUCCUGCUUUGAGGAGAUUCCCAUUCUAGAUGACGGUUGUGACUAAUCACGGGGGCAAUAUACUUAGCUCAACAGAACUUAACAAUUCAUAGACUAGAACGUGAAAAACUUUACCAAGCAUGAACACGUGGCAUAGGAUGUGUUCUGCGGUACUUUUAUGGAUAAAAAGUUGUAUGUAAUUGGUGGCAUUGGAUGAAAAGAGUCGUCAAAGGCGCUAUUGACACACUAUGGAGACAAAUAUGAACUGAAAAUAGACUGAAAUCUUGAUCAUGUCUCCUGUUCGAGCUAGAGCUGGAACACCUGCUACAUUCGAAGCACCUCCUUUGGUGACAGUUGUAAAUAACGGAUUUGUAUGUUGUUGAUUAUGCUUACGUGGAAGCAAGGAAGUAUGACAAGCAAAACAAAGCACGGGCUAUAAUAGGAAGAUUGCCUGAAAGAGCAGCUUCUAUAAGUUAAUCAUAUAUUGUGUGAUGGAUAGUGUAAGAGCCAUAUAGGUUCAAGGGCCAUUUGGAAGCACAAAGUACAAUUCUAUUUACUUUUUCAUCAGUUUGUCAUACGAUUCGUUUGUUUGUGUAUACGAUUCUGUAUACACAAAACUUGAGACAAUGAUCAUUCAACAGUGCAAGAAAAGUAAUGCAACAAAUAGGUGUAAUGAAAUUUUGAAUGAGCUGAUAAUAAGCUAUCAUCGAGCUUCACCAAAUGCAGAAAUCAAGUAUACUAAGACUGAUUCAAGUGCGAAUUACGAGUUAUUGGUCAAAGGAUCUGGGAUCAUUCAGAUCAGAAGAACUCUCCGAGUUUGUAACAAGACAAAUUAUACUAAGUUGCGCCCACCCUUCACUUUUGAUGCAGCACCCGUCUCGGAUUCUUCAAAGAUACACUAUUUUUGGCGAAUCCGACAACCACCUAUUGACAUUUUUGAAGAGUCCGAGCAACAUAGAAACUAUAUAACCAAGAAGAAUAAUCAUUGUAAUCCAAGGGGACUGGACUAGCUAGGCAUUAUAUCGGUGAUCUGAACUAGUAUAAAAAAAAUUGUGUCUACUAUCUAUUAUUCUAUCAUUAGCUAUAUAUAUAUAUAUAUAUAUAUAUAUAUAUAUUUGUUUAUCGAAUCUGCAGGAAAUUCGACUA